rnacentral:rRNA from 1 species
UACGUAGGGUGCAAGCGUUGUCCGGAAUUAUUGGGCGUAAAGAGCUCGUAGGCGGUCUGUCGCGUCGGCUGUGAAAACUCGGGGCUCAACUCCGAGCUUGCAGUCGAUACGGGCAAGCUAGAGUUCGGUAGGGGAGAUUGGAAUUCCUGGUGUAGCGGUGAAAUGCGCAGAUAUCAGGAGGAACACCGGUGGCGAAGGCGGGUCUCUGGGCCGAUACUGACGCUGAGGAGCGA